rnacentral:rRNA from 1 species
AAGUCGUAACAAGGUUUCCGUAGGUGAACCUGCGGAAGGAUCAUUAAAGAAUCGCCCCGUUUUUUGAAAUGGGUUCUAUUCCCAAACCGUGUAUACAUUCCUUUGUUGCUUUGGCAGGCCGCCUUUUAGGCGUUGGCUCCGGCUGACUGCGCCUGCCAGAGGACCCAAACUCUUUUGUUUAGUGAUGUCUGAGUACUAUAUAAUAGUUAAAACUUUCAACAACGGAUCUCUUGGUUCUGGCAUCGAUGAAGAACGCAGCGAAAUGCGAUAAGUAAUGUGAAUUGCAGAAUUCAGUGAAUCAUCGAAUCUUUGAACGCACAUUGCGCCCCUUGGUAUUCCGAGGGGCAUGCCUGUUCGAGCGUCAUUAUAACCACUCAAGCCCUCGGCUUGGUCUUGGGGUUCGCGGUUUCGCGGCCCUUAAAAUCAGUGGCGGUGCCGUCUGGCUCUAAGCGUAGUAAUCCUCUCGCUAUAGGGUCCAGGUAACCACCUGCCAGAACCCCCCAUUCUUUAUGGUUGACCUCGGAUCAGGUAGGGAUACCCGCUGAACUUAAGCAUAUCAAUAAGCGGAGGAAAAGAAACCAACAGGGAUUGCCUCAGUNACGGCGAGUGNAGCGGCAACAGCUCAAAUUUGAAAUCUGGCUCUUUCAGGGUCCGAGUUGUAAUUUGUAGAAGAUGCUUUGGGUGUGGCUCCGGUCUAAGUUCCUUGGAACAGGACGUCAUAGAGGGUGAGAAUCCCGUACGUGACUGGGUGCCUUCGCUCAUGUAAAGCUCUUUCGACGAGUCGAGUUGUUUGGGAAUGCAGCUCAAAAUGGGUGGUAAAUUUCAUCUAAAGCUAAAUAUUGGCCAGAGACCGAUAGCGCACAAGUAGAGUGAUCGAAAGAUGAAAAGCACUUUGGAAAGAGAGUUAAACAGUACGUGAAAUUGUUGAAAGGGAAGCGCUUGCAACCAGACUUGCGCGCUGUUGAUCAUCCGAGCUUUUGCCCGGUGCACUCGGCAGCGCUCAGGCCAGCAUCGGUUUUGGUGGGCGGAUAAAGGCCUUGGGAAUGUAGCUCUCUUCGGGGAGUGUUAUAGCCCUCGGUGCAAUGCGCCCUACCGGGACCGAGGACCGCGCUCCGGCUAGGAUGCUGGCGUAAUGGUUGUAAGCGACCCGUCUUGAAACACGGACC